rnacentral:rRNA from 1 species
UACCAGCACCCCGAGUGGUCGGGACGAUUAUUGGGCCUAAAGCAUCCGUAGCCGGUUUUACAAGUCCUCCGUUAAAUCCAGCUGCUUAACAGAUGGGCUGCGGAGGAUACUAUAAGACUAGGAGGCAGGAGAGGCAAGCGGUACUCAGUGGGUAGGGGUAAAAUCCGUUGAUCCAUUGAAGACCACCAGUGGCGAAGGCGGCUUGCCAGAACGCACUCGACGGUGAGGGAUGAAAGCUGGGGGAGCAAACCGG